rnacentral:lncRNA from 1 species
GAGGUUCCUGCGACUUAUUCUUUUAUUCUUUCCAUGCCCCUUGGCAAUCAUUAUUUCACCUGACCGUUUGAUCUUUUUUCUUGAAUGGGUUCCCUCGUGGCUGUUAGACGAGAUGUGAACCAUGACAUAUAGUUCAAUCUAUCUAAGAAACCACGAACCUCUCUUUUUUGUUCUCGGUUCAGGCAUUUUUUUUAUUUCUUUUUUUUUCUUCUUUCUUCUUUUUUUUUUUAGCAGGAUCAGCCUCGAUUCCUC